rnacentral:rRNA from 1 species
UACGUAGGGUGCGAGCGUUGUCCGGAAUUAUUGGGCGUAAAGAGCUCGUAGGCGGUUUGUCGCGUCUGCUGUGAAAACUCAGGGCUUAACCCUGAGCCUGCGAGUCGGGUACGGGCAGGACUAGAGUGUGGUAGGGGAGAUCGGAAUUCCUGGUGUAGCGGUGGAAUGCGCAGAUAUCGAGGAGGAACACCGGUGGCGAAGGCGGAUCUCUGGGCCGAUAACUGACGCUGGAGGAGCGAAAGCAUGGGAGCGAACAGG